rnacentral:rRNA from 1 species
UAGUGAACCAGUACCGUGAGGGAAAGGCGAAAAGAACCCCGGCGAGGGGAGUGAAAAAGAACCUGAAACCGUGUACGUACAAGCAGUGGGAGCACCCUUUGGGGUGUGACUGCGUACCUUUUGUAUAAUGGGUCAGCGACUUAUAUUCUGUAGCAAGGUUAACCGUAUAGGGGAGCCGGAGGGAAACCGAGUCUUAACCGGGCGUUAAGUUGCAGGGUAUAGACCCGAAACCCGGUGAUCUAGCCAUGGGCAGGUUGAAGGUUGGGUAACACUAACUGGAGGACCGAACCGA